AUGGGUCAUGUGAAGCCCGCCCGGCCCGGCGUCUCGCGGGGAGAGAGCACGCAACUUCGUCCGCCCAAUCCCCUUCCUUCCCCUCCUCCCCAAUGGCCUUCUUCCUCCUCACAGCCGCCGCCUCUCCCUUUCCCUCGUGCCUCCAGCGCCGCCGUCGGGCGUCCUGGCUCCUCCACACACACCCUCCCCUCCACCAUGCUUGCAAGCCUGCUCCUUGGCCGAUUUCCCUAGCGCUGCGGCUGGAAGGCCUCCUCAUCAUCGGGUUUCUGCGCCGCGGCGCCUCACAAAGUCGGCCAUGUGGAGGAGCACACAUGGAAGCAGCAGGCCGAUGCGGGGAUCUGCGGGCGGAGCUCCGCCGUCUCCGGACCCUCUCCAUCUCGUGCUUCAGUGGGUCAAGGUCGGGGAGCAGCACACAGGGACCCUCCCCACUCGUUCUUCUCCUCUCUCCCAACAAUAUCCCCCAAUCCCGUGUUGUUCCUCGUUUUUCACCGGCGGCUGGAUGCCUAGGAGGAAGGAGGACGGGCGGCCUGGCUUCAACGGGAUUAGAAGGAGGCGGAUUUUGGCAUGGCCCGUACAACUGCCAAGAUGGCGCCCCGCCGGAGUUGCUGUUCGUUCUAUCUCCCCAGGCCUGUAUACUCCUGGUGUUGAGGGUUUGUGUAGCUUCUAGGCCAAGAAGCUGAGAGGGGUUUUCUUCUUUGAGUCGCCGGAACCAAGCGACGACAACGUGCUGCAGACUUUCUGGUCUUCUAUACAAGAGAAAUCAAAUUAAUAUAUAAUUCAGCUUCAAAAGCACCAAAAAUUUAUGUCAAUACAUGGGUGAGUGGAGAUACUGCAUGUAAUACUCAUUUUCCCAUCUUUAUACAGCGAUGUACCUGUAGCAACUGUCAUUUUACUCUCCCACUUAGAAGGACUUCUCUGUAUUUUGUCGACCCUUCCGGUCUUAUGGUGAUUUUUUUUUCCUGAAGCACUUCUUAUGUCUUGCCUGCGUUUGAAGUGUUGGAGUUCUUAAAUUCUUGAUGAAGAGGAUUUUGGAGGUACGUGCCGCCGGUGCUCGUGGCGCUUAAUUAACUGCAGCAGCAGAAUUUGGAUUAUUAAUGCAGAUGAACCCUCUGUUUCAGAAAGCUAUGGUUGGCUUCGGACUGGAAGGACAUGUCUAGCAGCGGCUAUUUAUCGGAGAGGCUAUCGUUCCUUUAUGGUCAUAAGACAGGCUUCUCUUUGGAAGUGGAAAUGGAAUCAGCACAUGAAGGCUUGCCCCUGACUUUGCAAGUGCCCCACGAAGCCGGUCGUGCAGUGAUGGUAACAGUGAGACUGAUACACAGCCCUAGAGGACCAUGUUCGCCGAAUCAUCGCAUGAACAUGGGUUGGGAGCUACACUAGAGUUGGCUCCUAGGUUUGGUCUGAAGAGGUUGGUUUACCUGUGCUUGAUGCUCCAGAUUCUCCGCCUGCCCUGUCCACUGCUCCUCCAACAGACAAAACAUCAACCACGUUGGUUUCUGCCUCGUGGUCUCCUAGGUCAGAGCCACGGUGCAGGAGCUCAGGUUUCGGUGGAGAGAUGAUACAGUGAUGAGAAGAUGUGCCCAGCAGCUAGCUAUAGUGGAGAAUUGAUUCGUCCGAUCCCCCCACCCCUGGCCUUCUACAGAGAAGGCGCUCUCGCUAACCCGCUGUUCCCUACCAAGGAAGCUCUCGGGGGGAUUGGUCGUGGUGCCAUUCGGAUUCCUACUUUUUAAGUUCCUAUUUUUUUAUCUUAAGUUCGUAUUAGAUGGUGUUUCUCACAUCUACCAUAUAGUGUCUGUUAUUCUGCAAGUACUCUGUACACAUAAAUAUCAGCAGACACAACCAUCCUCUUGAUAUGAAUUGCUCUGAUGAGCAUCUUAUGUGGCGGAUAAGACUCAGUACAGUAGUACAUUUGUACUACAUUAUUGGUAUGGUAUAUAAGUUCAGUUGAAUGCUCCUUUCUAGGCCUUAACGACAACAAUCAAAUACCUGCAAAAUAGUUUUUCCAUAUGUGCAUUAUUCCGUGUAGAAAGAAGAUUGUACAGCUUUGUUGUAAAUCUUAACAAUUAAAGCCAUUUGUUAUAUAAAUGUAGAGAGCAUAUUUAUUACUGCAACAGGAAAACUAUACUGCUAACCUCUUGGUUUUAGCUGCAUAAGGUGUGAACUCAUUUUAGUCCUCAAAAUACAUGCUCUUAUAAAGAAAACAAUCAGUUUAUAGCCUACCAAUUUCUGACGCUGUUUGAUUUCUUAGCUGAGACUCGUGUACGAAGUCGGUGCCCUACCGACAAAGGUGGUACAACUCUCACCAGAUGACCUCAGAGACGAGAGCACAAUAACAUACUGGAAGAUAUGACGCUAGAAGCACACAAAUAAGCUAACCUGGUGCAAGCUGUGAUUCCAUGACCCAUCCCCGCUGUGACCCUGUUCCUGGAAUUGGCAAGGUGUUUUUGAAGUAUGCAGAUGCCAAGAGCUCGGCCAGGGCAACAAUGGAUGCACAUGAGGAGAUUCGACAGGAAAAAGACGGUUGCCGUGUUCGCCGAUGGAGACUACGACGAAUAGAUUAAAACAAAUCUUGCAUAUUUGUUCUUUUUAGACUUUGAAUACAUUUAGCAGUAAGUUUUCAUGAAAUGUACUUAAAUCUCAUGUUAUUCUAAUAGUGGUGCAUACAGGAUUGCAUUCCGAAGUUAUCAGAAUACAAAUCUUUAAAACCGAA